rnacentral:rRNA from 1 species
CCUACGGGCGGCAGCAGUGAGGAAUAUUGGUCAAUGGACGCAAGUCUGAACCAGCCAUGCCGCGUGCAGGAAGACGGCUCUAUGAGUUGUAAACUGCUUUUGUACGAGGGUAAAGGCAGAUACGCGUAUCUGUCUGAAAGUAUCGUACGAAUAAGCAUCGGCUAACUCCGUGCCAGCCGCCGCGGUAAUACGGAGGAUUCAAGCGUUAUCCGGAUUUAUUGGGUUUAAAGGGUGCGUAGGCGGUCGGUUAAGUGAGCGGUGAAAUCCCGAGGCUCAACUUCGGAAUUGCCUCUGAUACUGUGCGGCUAGAGAGUGUGUGCGGUAGGCGGAAUGUGUGGUGUAGCGGUGAAAUGCUUAGAGAUCAUACAGAACACCGAUUGCGAAGGCAGCUUACCGAGCUACUUCUGACGUUGAGGCACGAAAGCGUGGGGAGCGAACAGGAUUAGAUACCCCGGUAGUC